GGGGCCAGCUUACUGGGCAGUCGACGAAGCAGAAGCGAAGCGCAAGCAGAGGUUCUUGACUGAGUGGCGGACGGGUGAGUAACGCGUGGAUAACCUGCCUUUCACAGGGGGAUAACAGCUGGAAACGGCUGCUAAUACCGCAUGAGCCUCUUUUAUCGCAUGACGGGAGAGGGAAAGAGAAAUCGGUGAGAGAUGGAUCCGCGUCCGAUUAGCUAGUUGGAGGGGUAACAGCCCACCAAGGCGACGAUCGGUAGCCGACCUGAGAGGGUGGACGGCCACAUUGGGACUGAGACACGGCCCAAACUCCUACGGGAGGCAGCAGUGGGGAAUAUUGCACAAUGGGGGAAACCCUGAUGCAGCAACGCCGCGUGAGUGAGGAAGUAUUUCGGUAUGUAAAGCUCUAUCAGCAGGGAAUAGAAAAGAAGGUACCUGAAAAAGAAGCCCCGGCUAACUACGUGCCAGCAGCCGCGGUAGUACGUAGGGGGCAAGCGUUAUCCGGAUUUACUGGGUGUAAAGGGAGCGUAGACGGCAGCGCAAGUCUGGAGUGAAAUCCCAUGGCUUAACCAUGGAACUGCUUUGGAAACUGUGCAGCUGGAGUGCAGGAGAGGUAAGCGGAAUUCCUAGUGUAGCGGUGAAAUGCGUAGAUAUUAGGAGGAACACCAGUGGCGAAGGCGGCUUACUGGAUUGUAACUGACGUUGAGGCUCGAAAGCGUGGGGAGCANACAGGAUUAGAUACCCUGGUAGUCCACGCUGUAAACGAUGAUUACUAGGUGUUGGGGGACCAAGGUCCUUCGGUGCCG
rnacentral:rRNA from 1 species